AGGCUGGAGUAAGGAAGGUUAGCAAGAAAAACCUCAGCCCUGAGAUAAGGGUGAAGGCACUGGGGCGACAGGGAAGUGGUCAAAGGAAAUGCAGACAGUAUUAAUGGGAUGCAGCAGGAAGCUGCUACUUAUAAGUUCUCUGGGUCUGGACCCAGAGUAGUGGGUGGGCCUAGGUUGCCCCCCAGCAACUAGGGAAGUGGCUUAAGCCCUGAAAAGGGAAGUAGCCCACAGCCACAGAGCUGAAGUCCCAGAGACAGGGUCAACAUUUGUGGGACUUUAUAUACCACUCCAGAAGGGGGUUGAACUAUAAAGAGUGCCCAACUGGAGAGCUGAGGCAACAGGCGAAAAGCUCCCAGGGAGGAAGCCCUGGGGGUAAUGCUCCAUACCACAGAAGGGACAAUUUGAGAGGCAGGUCAGCCCAGGGUACUGUGAGAGAGUCCUGUUGGACUUGCACCCCAGGAGGGGUUUGUUUUGUUUGUGAACAUGGACGGUAUGUGACUCAACUGGAGGGCUGAGUCACUGAAAUUCUCCUAAGUUUAACUGCCAGCAGGGGUCACCGCAAGCAGCACAAUGCAGAGGGAGUGCAGCUGUAGACACACCUGGGCAACAGGUGCACUCAUGUGAGCACUCGCUUAAGUGUUUUGCUGGAUGGGGCUCCGGUACUCAGCCUCUUACAGGAUGAACCCCAGCUGUUACCAGGAUUAGCCAGCUCAGUAUACAUAAAUCCCAGCAGCCUGCAUGGCAUCAUCUACACACAGAUCAUGGGAUGGGUUUCUCAAGGUCAAGAGCUCAGUCGAGUCACAGAAUCCUUUCUAUUUUGCCAUUCCAUUGUUACUUUCUAUAAAGAGUACAAAGGGGUGAAGACUCAAAAUUCUGCCUAUGAAUAUGCUUCCAGCUGACCUGAAGCCAUCCCGUGGGCACUGGUGAUUAUCGAGCCCAGUUGAAUUUGGAUAUCAGGAUCAAGAGAACCUUUUUGGUGUACAGCUGGGUGUCCAAGUACCUACUUGAGAUGGACUUAAUUUUGAGCAGCGUUGUGAAUAAGAUCCAGGGACUGAACAUCCAGUACAAUGGGCCUGGAAUACUAACAGCAAGUCCAGUGCAGAGCAGAACUUGUCCAUUCGGGGAAGACCUUGACUCAACCCUCAGGGAUUGCUCUUCCAUGCAGCCUAAUGUGCUUUUAGAUAGCCAGGAGGUUCGAUGCAAUUCUGUGGUGAGGGGCAAGGAAGAAUAACACUACAUUCAUGGACUGGGCAACCACGGACCUGAGUAGCUGGACUGGGAGAUGCCUAAGAUCUUGUUAGGCUCUCAAGAUCUCUUUGAGGAGUGCCAGGACGCCACUAUAGCAAUGGGGACGACCACCAACCUGGUUCAGCCAGUAUCAGAGGAGGGAUUCAGGGGUGACAAGCCCCCAACAACACACAAGCAGUUAUUUUAUUAAAACAUUAUAAAAAGGGUCUGAUUGUGAAUGCUGGGGGAAGAGAUUUCCAGAUUCUAUUUAGCCUUUUUGAAAGCACGAAUAUUGCACGUUAGGGAAGAAGCAUCCAUCUCUCCCCCAGCUCUGCCAGUUCCUGCUGCCCCAUCGUCUUCCACCCCUUGCCUCCACCACUUUCACUCCCUGCCUCUGCAAUGCUGGCAGCUAGGUUAUGUUCCUCCCAGCCCAGAGAUUUGUUCUCCCCCCCCUGCUGCCACAAGCUGAGUAAUACUUAAUACAUGCACCCUCUCCUCUCUCACCCCUUUAUGGCUGCAUGGCUAGCUGUUCCUACCUAGAUCGGGAGUGCCCAGAAUGGCAUGAACAGCAUUUGAUUUAUCCAUACAAGACCAAAAUAGACAAGCAAGAUCCCUAAACAAUAAACGAUAUUUCUGUAAAACACACAAGUCCCAUCUACAUUGCAACUAAUGCUCGCAUAGUAAUUUCCAGAGACACAGUUAAAACAUGAGCUGAGUUUUGUUGGGGGACUAACAUGUUUGUUUGACUCAGUAGUGUAGAUGUGAUCAAAGGGCAGAGCCACCACUGGGAUAGGGAAAAUCGGGGUGACCACUUGGUCCCUGUGCUUUGGGAGGCCCCAUGGGCCAGUGCAAUUGGCCAGCGCAGUCGGUCCCGGAAGAGACUAAUCCAUCCCUUCCGCCUCUGGCCCCACUCCUCCCUAGGGAAGGCCCUGUGAAAGGGAAUAUUUAAAUAGAGUCACGAUGCACUUCCUAAUAGAGCUGGGUAAAAAUUUUUGAUCAAAACUUUUUGGGGGGCAAAAAAUGCAGAUUCAGCAUCAUGGAAAUGUUGUGCAAUUUAUGUUAAUUUCACCAAAUUUUUUCCUUUAAAAAAAAUCUAAAAGUAAUCAAAAUAUUUUGUUUUGACGUUUUCA